UAGGGAAUCUUCGGCAAUGGGGGCAACCCUGACCGAGCAACGCCGCGUGAGUGAAGAAGGUUUUCGGAUCGUAAAGCUCUGUUGUAAGAGAAGAACGUGUGUGAGAGUGGAAAGUUCACACAGUGACGGUAACUUACCAGAAAGGGACGGCUAACUACGUGCCAGCAGCCGCGGUAAUACGUAGGUCCCGAGCGUUGUCCGGAUUUAUUGGGCGUAAAGCGAGCGCAGGCGGUUUAAUAAGUCUGAAGUUAAAGGCAGUGGCUUAACCAUUGUUCGCUUUGGAAACUGUUAAACUUGAGUGCAGAAGGGGAGAGUGGAAUUCCAUGUGUAGCGGUGAAAUGCGUAGAUAUAUGGGAGAACACCGGUGGCGAAAGCGGCUCUCUGGUCUGUAACUGACGCUGAGGCUCGAAAGCGUGGGGAGCAAACAGG
rnacentral:rRNA from 1 species